AUAAGACUUGGGGAUGGAGUCCCCCUUUAUAAUCGCCUUAGCCGGGCUGAUGACUCCUACCGCGCA
rnacentral:ncRNA from 2 species